AACGAACGCUGGCGGCAUGCCUAACACAUGCAAGUCGAACGAGACCUUCGGGUCUAGUGGCGCACGGGUGCGUAACGCGUGGGAACCUGCCCUUAGGUUCGGAAUAACUCCCCGAAAGGGGUGCUAAUACCGGAUAAUGUCUUCGGACCAAAGAUUUAUCGCCUUUGGAUGGGCCUGAGUUGGUUUAGCUAGUUGGUAGGGUAAAAGCCUACCAAGGCGACGAUCCAUAGCUGGUCGGGGAGGAGGAUCAGCCACACUGGACUGCGACACGGCCCCGAAUCCUACGGAAAGGAGGAGUAGGGAAUAUUAGACGAUGAGCGCAAACCUGACCCAGCAACGCCGCGGGAGUGAUGAAGGCCUUAGGGUUGUAAAGCUCUUUUACCCGGGAUGAUAAUGACAGUACCGGGAGAAUAAGCACCGGCUAACUACGUG
rnacentral:rRNA from 1 species